rnacentral:misc_RNA from 1 species
CGAUGGCGCGCUCAACGCAAACAAUCGAAACUAAAAGGAUGAUGGGCUCUCGUGGCGGCAUCAAAGGCGGCGUGGCGCUUCACUUUCGGCCUGUUUCACCGAGUACUGACACUGACGUAAAAGAGACUCGAUUAUCGUCAUCAGACGAGGCGUGAGAUGGAGAAUAAAAUCAUAAAGACACCACUCGUUUUUUUGCACACCGAAGAAAAGAAUCUUGUUGUACACACGAGCGUGAAAGAACGCGGAGGAAUAAAGAUUUCGUCGCAUUUAAUAGAUUGCCUAGAAAAUCCGUCCAGGAGGGUCCCGAAGGAGCUGUUAUACGUGUAUACGUAACGAAAUAUUAUCGCACAAUCUCAACUCGGAACUUCUAGUCCAGUGUGUAUAACAUCACCGUUCAGCGGAGAAUCGUGAGUAACGGCAAGUAGUAAUAAAAUUAGAGUGUCAGACGGGAACGGCCGGUAUCGAUCACGAAUCGACUAAUUCUUAUCUCCGAAUGAGACAAAGUAACAUCGAUUUGGUCGAGCUAUUUCGGAGGAUGAAAUUAUUGGAAAUUGUCAGAACUACGAUCCGAUUGAGUGGAGGUAACAGGCUUUUCGACCGGCCUCGCUUCCGAUGAACCGACUACAAAGAUUAAGAAACUGAUUAUUGUGGUUUUUAGUACUAUUCCGGGACAAACGUCAACGAUACCAAUUGGGCCUGCAAUGUUUAUUCAAGAGGCAAACGCCCCUUUUGAAUUUUACUUCCAUAUUCUCUUUAUAGUCACUGUUGGUUUUCGACGUAGACGUAUUAUCAGAAAAUUAACACCUCGCUAACGAGCAAGCAAACAGGUUAGGAGUUUUCUUGGCUCUUUAGUGCGUUCCUGGAAUAUCAUUCACCAGAAACGUAUCGAAUAUUCUCGUACCGAUUCGUCCAAGCGACGACCUCGUGACAAGGCGUGCAUUAUCGGUUGGUACGUAUACGCCCGAUAAGUAUGGUAAAACUCUUCUCAUGACCUCGUUAUUUCGUUCUGUCAAUUCCUAAGCUUUGCCCACUUUCCUACUCCUUGCUGUAAAACAAAAUUCAUAAAUAUCUCGGUUUUUUCCAUUCGAUAUGAAUCACUAUUUUUUUUUUGACGUUUCUAUAAAUGAUUCAUUCGAUACGUAGCCCGUCUGGGCAUGCGGUGUGCAAUUGGCGAGGAGUAAUAACAAUAUGGAAGGAAUUUUCAAUAGCCUCAGUUAUUAUGUUCGCAAGAACUAACAUUCCACUUUUUGCAAUUUGGUUCAAUUCAAUUCACCCAAUUACAUUUGUGUGAAUGCUUCUUUGUUUUCUUGCACUCUGUGGUCACGUAGUAAUUUUUCUAAAACGUCGACGAGUCGUUAGAAUGGCACUAGACCGUACAGAGCCAGCACAUGCACUUUUAGAGCAAUCGUAAAAAAAAAUCGUUGAAUAUUCUCGAAAGUAAAUGAAAAAUGAAGGAGGCUCGAUACGAAAGGUAAAACAGUAGUAAAUAAGCCCCUCUGGCAUUGACCAAUCGAUUCACGUAUGGAGAAAACAAUUUGUCUCGUUCGACUCGUUUUGCCUGACCACUACUUACCUUAUCUUCAGCGUGCCUCGCUACUCUGUAACUGUACGUAUGUACUUUCCUGGUUCGAUCUUUCCUGUACGAUGCACCGUGACGAGUUUGUAGCCAUGGAAGUACAAAUACCGUUAGAGAAUUCACCGAGCUAGCAAGAAGCGUCUACGCCGGAUUGCAAAAAAAAAAAUGAAAAAAUUGGAAAAAAGAGAACACACGCAGCCUCAGGCUGCAGGGCCAGUGACAUUGCUGUAGAGCAAUUUACGGUGGCUCUCCCGCUUCCUCUCUUGUCUUGACGCAACUGAAAAUCAAUAUUUUAUAUCUCACUGACCUUCCACCAGCAAUUUUAUAUCGGGAGCACGCAUUUCGAGCUCAACAUUUUUCGAGGUAAAUCGUCAAACACUAAAUUGUACGAAAAACCCUCCAAAGUGAACUGCACCGAGAAACCAUUUUGUGUCGUCGAUUGCUUUUCGCAUCGAUUCCUGCAUUUCCCGAUUAUUUCUCGCUUCCUCGGGGCUCCUAAAGUUCGAUAAAUUCUUGAUCGCGAUGAAUUUUUUUUGACAUUAAGAAGUGAGCUCUUGACAAUAAGUCGUCUCAAAUCGGCGUAGACACGAAAAAGGCUGAAUUGUGCACAACAUCGAGAAUUUGCUUGACGAAAAGAAAAAUAUAAUUUAUGUAGAUGCGGACAAGUCUUGUCGGACAGGAGGUAUUAAAAAAUGUUGAAAAACGACUAUAAAAAGAGGCGGUAAAAAUGAUAAUGGCGCUUUCCCGGUUGCGGUACUCUUUUGGAGAUGGAUGUACCAGACGUUGCAGGCAGGCUCUUUUACGAUCGUGAGCGAGGUCAGAGAGAAGGAGACGGUGGGUAAAAGACGAGAGAAAGAGUGGGAGAGAGAGGCAUAUAUCCCGGUGCAUGCACCAUUGUGUAGUAUAUUAGUGCAAAGUGUAUACAGUUAUAAAGUACGAGGUGAACUUCAAGCCACAAAUGACACGAGAGUAUCUGCUCUUUCUCGCCAACUUGGUGACUCUGGGGUGAGAGAGAGAGGAAAAGAGAAAAAAACAGCGGGAGGAUCCCGCCCUUACUUUAUACGAAAGAGGCAAUCAGAGGGGUUUUCAGAGGAGAGGAAUUUCGACCGUUAACUCGCGACCUCCAAUAUGAAGCGACAAUCUUCGCGACGCCCACUCGCUUUUCCCCCAAACCCGAAAAAGUCGUGUUCCUCCGUUCCAUUUUCCACAGCAGCUAAACUUUUAAUUUGAGUCAGCGAAUUAAUUUGAAAUUGUCGAAAAGUGGAUCGUAGAGCAAGUUAAGAUUGCAGAUAAUUUGGCAUCUGCGAUCGGCAAGGUGCUAUAUUCGAAAAAAAUUGUGGUGGAAAAAAUAUAAACAAUUCUUGCGGAAGACAAAAAUUAACGAUGAAAAAUGCCUGCGAGAUUGUAAUGUCUAUAUUAUUUGGGGAAAUGUGACGAUAAAAUCGAGUAGAGAUAAAAGAAAGAAGAAUCGUAAAAGGAUAAUGAGUAAGUCUGAAUGGGUGGAGUGUGCUCCUGUCGUGGCCGGGACAGCCAGGUUAAUGCUGGCUCGAUACUCGAUCGCGUGAUAAGUCAAGCGAGUAACGAGGAUCAGUGUCUUUUGUAUCGUUUGGCUAAUUACAAAAAAGGUGGAGAACUGAUCGAAGCAUACACGAAGGGUGGUCAACCGGAAGUGGAGCGUCUUAUGCGUGAACAGUUUGGUAUAUUGAUGUAUGCGGACGGUAAAGGACAAUCGAUUAACAGGGCGGAAUAUUUACGAUGGAAGUACCGGGACAUAGAUUAUGUUGUUUUGCCAAUUGAGGCGUCACUCUCGCGUUUUGAUCCUCUUGCUAAAUGGAGCGAUCACGAAGCCUGUUGGCAAAUGCAAUAUCGUGGCUCGUUAGGGGAAACGCUUCUUCACGUCCUCAUCAUUUGUGACACGAGAAUGCACACGAGAAUAGCUCGAAUUCUCUUGAAGUGUUUCCCAAGACUAGCAAUAGAUGUCGUCGAGGGUGAAGAAUAUUUGGGCGCUGGUGCUCUUCAUCUUGCAAUCGCUUACGCCAACAACGAACUCGUUCAGGAUCUCGUCGAAGCCGGUGCCCUCGUGUCCCAGCGCGCUACCGGAAGCUUCUUUCUACCACGCGAUCAACAACUCCAACGAUCGUCAAGAAAUACCGACUACGAGGGUCUCGCUUAUCUCGGCGAAUAUCCACUCGCUUGGGCUGCCUGUUGCGCCAACGAGAGCGUCUACAAUCUCCUACUUGACUCGGGUGCCGAUCCCGACGAGCAGGACUCUUUCGGCAAUAUGAUCCUUCACAUGGUCGUCGUUUGUGACAAACUUGACAUGUUCGGAUACGCCUUGCGUCAUCCGAAGCUUCCAGCAAGGAAUGGAAUAGCCAACAACGCCGGCCUAACGCCGUUGACACUCGCCUGCCAACUCGGUCGUGCUGAGGUCUUCCGCGAGAUGUUGGAACUGUCUGCUCGGGAAUUUUGGCGUUACAGCAACAUCACAUGCUCUGCUUAUCCCCUUAACGCCCUCGACACGUUACUCCCUGACGGUAGAACGAAUUGGAAUUCCGCUCUAUUCAUCAUAUUGAAUGGAACGAAGGAGGAGCAUCUGGACAUGCUCGACGGUGGAAUAAUUCAACGUUUGCUGGAAGAAAAAUGGAAAACGUUUGCACGCUUGCAGUUUCUCAAGAGGCUUAUAAUUCUGGUUUUUCAUCUGACUUCGCUGUCACUGGCCGUUUAUUUACGGCCAGCCAAUGUCGAGGCCGACAUGCUCGCAUGGCCCGAAGAACUCGUCGACGUUGGCCGUACAAUCGCCGAAUCUGUUACGGUCAUAGGUGUCCUCAGUUACAUUCUUAUCCAGCUCGGUGGUGAAGUCGUCAAUAUCGGUCUCAUCUCAUUUCUCAAACAGUUGAGUCACGAGCCAGCCAAAUUCAUAUUUCUCCUCAGCAAUAUUCUCAUUCUCGCUUGUAUACCGUACCGUCUCGUCGGCGACCGUCAUUCGGAAGAUGCUAUUCUCGUCAUAGCCGUACCAGGAUCGUGGUUUCUGCUCAUGUUCUUUGCUGGAGCGGUACGACUGACCGGACCGUUCGUCACGAUGGUCUACAGUAUGAUAACCGGUGACAUGCUGACCUUUGGCAUCAUAUACAUGGUCGUACUCUUCGGCUUCUCACAAUCCUUCUACUUCCUUUACAAAGGCUUUCCCGGUGUAAAAUCAUCACUUUAUAGCUCUUAUCACUCAACCUGGAUGGCUCUAUUCCAGAUCACACUCGGCGAUUACAGUUACUCGGAUUUGAGCUACACGACUUAUCCGAAUUUGAGCAAAACUGUAUUUGCCAUUUUCAUGGUACUCGUGCCAAUUUUGUUGCUGAACAUGCUUAUCGCCAUGAUGGGAAACACCUACGCUCAUGUCAUUGAACAGAGCGAGAAGGAAUGGAUGAAACAGUGGGCAAAAAUCGUUGUUUCCCUUGAACGAGCAGUGUCUCAACAAGACGCCCACAAUUAUCUUCAAGAGUACAGUAUUAAGCUUGGUCCAGGCGACGAUCCGAACAAUCCAGCCUCGGAACAACGAGGCGUAAUGGUCAUCAAAAGCAAAUCAAAAACUCGGGCCCGGCAACGAAAGGGAGCAGUUGCCAAUUGGAAGCGCGUGGGUAAGGUCACGAUAAAUGAGUUGAGAAAACGAGGAAUGACCGGUGAAGAAUUACGAUGUAUAAUGUGGGGUCGUGCCUCAUUCUCAACCCCCGUGAGAGCCAGUCCAAACAUCGGUGAACUGGAAAUGGGAGCGUCGAGCGGAGUCGCCGGAGGUUUCGGUGACGCCCUGACCGCGGCUCUAGACGUCAUGGUCUUUGCCCACGACAUCGACCUGACCACGGUGACCGAGAGAAUACCAACUACGGACUCGGCCGCCAAAGCAGCGAAGUCACAGCAGCACCAAUAUGACCAGACCAAAGUGCCUUCUACCACUCUUAUCCAACCACCAGCACCAAAAUCUUCCUCGACCUGCUUACAAACGACUCCUUCCGAAAAUCACGACUUGGCUCGAGCCAACGUAUCCCGAUUGACGCAGGACGAAAAGACGAGAUGCCAAGUGUACGAAACCAGUGGGAAUCUCAUCAAUGAAAAGAGUCAGGAGCCACAGCAGCAGAUGUGGAAGAAAAGCGACAUCGAAGAUGGUAGCUGUAAGAGAAUGAACGGUCAAGUUGAGCCAAAUCAGGUACUAUCGUCCAUCGACGGAGCAGGAUCGUCGAGCAAGAGGCAAACCGAGAUCGAGAAUCCGGAUCCUUUAUUGGAUCUCGUAAUCGCAUCUGAGAGCCCGAGUUCUCAACAGGCGACCCUCCUUAAAAUGGCUGCCGAAGCAGCUAGAAUAUCCUACGAAGCAGUAACCACUUCUAAAACCUCAACUAUUGCCGCAAACAUGACGCUCCAGGAUUCCCACAUUCUCGAGAAAUUAACUGGCCUCGGUGCGGUCAUACCCGACUCCAUGCUACCCACCCCUAAUCCACUAAUUACCCCGGCCAAAAAAGAGAAAAUAUAUUUCGUCGAGUUCAGCGACAUCGAACCGUGUGCCAAUGACAAUUAUUUGGGACUCGAAGCAAGACUUGGAAGGUUUCGUUCGGCAAGUACGAGGCUCUCAGCAGCGGCGAGUAAGAAAAGAUCGAGACAGUCGAACAACGCGAUGAGCAGGUCUGAUCAAGAAACGACAUCGACGACGUCAACGUCCAGCGACGAAAUCGAGAAUAAUCCUAAUCGUCCAUCGACGAAGAACGGAGGUGACGUUGAAUCGACGAAAAAGGUGAAUCUCGUAGAAGAAUCCUCGAAGCUGUUGGACGAAGAAUCGAAGAAGGAAUCAACGAAGAAAAACGGUUCAGAAACGAGCGUCGUCCUCGCUAGAGAAAAUGGAUGCAACGAGAGGAUCAAUAAAAAUCACAAACGGCGACCUAAAACUGCGAAAAACAGGUAAAAAUCCGUGUUUCACGUUCUCUCCGAGGGGCACUUUUCCACAGGCGACAACGAUAACGCCCGGUCAUUUCUUCCUCUAGUACACACUUUGCACCGAGCAUCCGAAUACGCUCUACUCGCCCCUCCAUCCAAGACUCCAAACAUCUCGAAUCCUUCAUUCCGUUGUUACCUCUGAAUCAGCGAACAAUUUUUUUAUUUUGUACAAAAACACAAACAAACGGGGGUCCCUAAAUUUUUCGACCCAUUUUGGUGGAGUGUCGAGCAAUAAACAGUCGUGUUUUCACCUGUCAUCGAGCUCGAUAACAAAAUUGACAUCCACCAGCAAUUUGUUAUACAAAAAAUGUCCCCCCGAACCCGUCAGCAGGCUGUGGAUAUACAAAGCAUUCUCACUCGUCAUUUUCAGUAAGCUUUUCCUCGUGGAAAAGCCCAUAUGAAUAUAUAUUUACAAACAAUAUACGGCCCGUCGACACCAGGGACCAGAAUAUUGCACGGAGCGGAAAAACCGCGACGAUUCCGUGUACUUGCUGCUCCCUCUGCCAUCGUAUAUUUUUAACUUAACGCUAAAAAAAUACAAAAAAUGAUAAUGUAAUAAGAAACGAAAAAAACGAAGGGAAAAAGGGCUAGAGAGACGAAGCGUAGAAUAGCGUGAGAGAAGAAGAAAGAAGGAAAGGGGGGAGGGAAAAAUAUCUCGAAUAAAGAGGCGGAGCUCUUUCCUUUCUCUGUAGCCUCGGCGAAGCUGCUGUGGACACUAUACUCUACCCUUCUUCUCCUCCUCCUCCUCACCUUCUUUUUUAUAUCCCUUGCAAGUAUACAUUACACUUUUUGUACAAAAGCUGUUUCUGCAAUAUCGCGUCAACCAAUUUUGACCGAAUUUUCUUUUCUUCGACGAUCCAUUUAUUAAAUUUGGACUUGUCCGUCCCGUAUUUGCUCACUAUUUCAUUUGUUUCAACAAUCUUAUUCAAUACGUUAUUGAAGAUGUAAUACUUUCGAUAUACCAUUACGAGAAGAGUAUUUUAUAAGGUUUGACUCAGUUUUUCUGUACGGAGUAUCGUCCUUGGAAUUUCCAAUCGAGACAACCAAUUCUACCGCGGUGAAAUUCCCUAUGGACGAAAAAAACUUCUGGCGAGAUUCAUCCGGGAAGUCCGUUAAUUCACUACUUUUUUUCCUUUGCAAUCAAUAUAUGAGACGUUUCUUGUCUUGAUUUUUCAAAUUGGACGUCAAAUUCAUAAUAACGACAGAUUCGGAGAAGAGAGGAAGGAAGAAUGAUGAUGAAUCACUUGUCAAGCCACGUGAAAGACUGCCAUCAAGCUGUCACGUGGCCGAUGAUCAAUAAAUGUUCCCUGUUCGCUUCGAUGAGCCUUCGAAAUAUGCUGUUUCAGCCGACGACUUCAUUCAUUUAUAUAGAACAUACGUUAAUUUAUUGCAAAACAGAGAUGGAUUUAUAUCUAUUGAGCAUCGUUCGAGAAUCUCGUCAUACAGAUGCGCGGUUGUUUUUUCGACCUUAUCGUAGCCUGCUCAUCUUAAACCGUUGAGAAGCAAUCAGGGAAUUUAGACGUUCUCUUAAAUGGCAUGCGUAGUUAAAAAGCUUUUUCACCAAAUCCCAAGAGUAUCACCGAAGGAAUCGAACGAAUGGACGGAACGUAAGAAGCGUGACGCUUCGGUCGACGGGAGAUCAGGGAGCAGACGGAGCGAUAAGGC